CCGGCGUAGUUAGCUCUACCGAUCGAGAUAGUUUGAGCCGAACCUUUACUCUCCCAGUGCACAUCAAAGAAAGGUGGAAGUGAGACAAUGGACCUGAUUGAUUGCAGAAUAAAAGUUUGGUAGCCAGUGGACAAGCGGUUUUAUGGAGUAGUGAAGUCUUAUGACUCUGAACAUAAGAAAUAUGUGGUACUGUAUGAUAAUGGAGAUGUGGAAGUGCUCCAUUUAGAUAAAGAGCGUUGGGAGCUUGUUGACAAUGGUCACAAGCCUACAAAGGUUAACUUUAUA